rnacentral:lncRNA from 1 species
CUGGGCCGGCCUAGCGGCUCGGCCUAGCGCGCAGGAGAUUAGACACGCCAAAGACGCCCUGCUGUGGGGUGCUUUCCCCACAGGGAGACGGGAACCACGCCAGGGGCCUCCACUUACUCGCUGGGUCCGAUCGUUGUGCCGCUGACCGGCGGGCCCCACUUGUGAGGUCCUCCUCCUACCUCCCGCUGGAUCAGGGAGAUGCAGGGGAGGCCGAGUAGGCAUGCAUCGAUGCCGGAGCUAGCUCCCGUGGCCACCCCCGACGGGGCCUUGCACUCCGGCGAGAGGCAUGGGCUGCGCUGC